GGAAACCAAACCAACUGGCUCUGGUGCAGAAACCAAACCAACUGGCCCUGGUGCUUGGCCACAAUCUACAAUAUCAGGCCGGUGGCCAGAAACUACAGAAGCAGGCGCGGUAAGUUCCACAAAAUGAAAUUUAGUGCUGGUUCCAGCAGUUGUCACCGUGGAUAUUCUAGCUUAGAUUGAGGUUCAAAAGUAAACUCAAGGAUUCCUGUUUUGCCCUUCGGAAUAAAACUCAAAUAUCUAUUGUCCGCUCUUCUUUAUUUCUGUAUGAACAGGAAACCGAACCAACUGGCUCUGGUGCUGUAAGUUCGGCUUUAUUCCACUCCAUCUGUUCUAUGUCUAGCAUAUCACUUAUGAAAAAAAAAAAUCUAGUUGCUCAUAUUAUAUGAGGGCAAGGGUCACCUUUUAUAUGGAAGCGAUGAAGGUUGCUCUGCUUCUUUGUUGUUUCCAGUGGCAACAAUCUACAAUACCAGGCAGGGUGAGUUUCUCGGAAUGGAAUACAGCAUGUUUCAUCAUCUUGCAACAUUUGGAAAACUUGUAACUUAACAUAAAAGAGACAAAAUUUAAGAAUAGGUAAAUACGUUUCUUCUGUCUAAAACACCAUCCCUAAUUUCCACCAUGUUGUCUUUCCUUGCAUUCAGGGAUAUAAGCCAACGAGGCCAGACGCAGUAAAUUUAUUCUUAUUCCACAAUCGUAGAUUAUGUCUCGUCUACCGUUAAGGAAUAUUAAAGUGGUGCGUCCCAAUUACAAGAAAUGGAAGAAUAUAACGUAAAUCGGAAGAAUAAUGCUGGCUGUAUCGGUUUCUUCGUUCUAGUGGCCAGAUACUACAGAAGCAGGCGCGGUAAGUUCCACAAAAUGAAAUUUAGUGCUUGUUCCAGCAGUUGUCACCGUGGAUAUACUAGUUUAGAUUGAGGUUCAAAAGUAAAUUCAAGGAUUCCUGUUUUGUCCUUCAGAAUAAAACUCCAAUAUCUAUUGUCCGCUCUUCUUUAUUUCUGUAUGAAAAGGAAACCGAAGCAACUGGCUCUGGUGCUGUAAGUUCGACUUUACUAAGCUCCAUUUAUUCUAGGUCUAGCCUGUCUCUCAUAAAAAAAAAAAAAUCUGGUUGGUCAUAUUACAUAAGCGCAAGGGUGACCUUGUAUAUGGGAGCGAUGAAGCUUGCUCUACUGGUUUGUUGUUUCCAGUGGUCAGAAUCUACAAUACCAGGCGCGGUGAGUUUGUCGCAAUGGAAUGCAGC